rnacentral:rRNA from 1 species
GACGAGCCACACGAACGUUUAUUCGGAAUUACUGGGCUUAAAGGGUGCGUAGGCUGCGCGGAAAGUUGGGUGUGAAAUCCCUCGGCUCAACCGAGGAACUGCGCCCAAAACUGCCGUGCUCGAGGAAGAUAGAGGUAAGCGGAACUUACGGUGGAGCGGUGAAAUGCGUUGAUAUCGUAAGGAACACCUGUGGCGAAAGCGGCUUACUGGGUCUUUUCUGACGCUGAUGCACGAAAGCUAGGGGAGCAAACGGG